GCCAGUGUGGCUCAGUGGUUGAGCGUCAACCUAUGAACCAGGAGGUCUGGGUUCGAUUCCUGGUAAGGGCA
rnacentral:tRNA from 1 species